rnacentral:rRNA from 1 species
CGGACGGGUGAGUAACGCGUGAGCAACCUGCCUUCGAGGGGGGAAGUAGCACCUGGAAACGGGUGGUAAUACCGCAUAAGCCGGGAAUACCGCAUGGUAUAACUGGAAAAGGAGCAAUCCGCUUGAAGAUGGGCUCGCGCCCGAUUAGAUAGUUGGUGAGGUAACGGCUCACCAAGUCGACGAUCGGUAGCCGGACUGAGAGGUUGAACGGCCACAUUGGGACUGAGACACGGCCCAG